CGAGUUUGGAUAGCAGAGAAGCGGAGAAAUUCGAUAGGAGCGACAAUGGGCGGAGGAAUGGAAGCUCACAAGAACAGAUUUAUUGAGGAUUGGGGUACUGCUAGAGAAAAUCUUGAGCAUAACUUCCGAUGGACUCGCCGGAAUUUCGCUAUUGUGGGUCUCUUUGGCAUCGCCAUUCCCCUCCUUGUUUACAAGGGCAUCGUCAGGGAAUUUCAUAUGCAAG
rnacentral:misc_RNA from 1 species